rnacentral:rRNA from 1 species
AACGAACGCUGGCGGCAUGCCUAACACAUGCAAGUCGAACGAGACCUUCGGGUCUAGUGGCGCACGGGUGCGUAACGCGUGGGAACCUGCCCUUAGGUUCGGAAUAACUCCCCGAAAGGGGUGCUAAUACCGGAUAAUGUCUUCGGACCAAAGAUUUAUCGCCUUUGGAUGGGCCCGCGUUGGAUUAGCUAGUUGGUAGGGUAAAAGCCUACCAAGGCGACGAUCCAUAGCUGGUCUGAGAGGAUGAUCAGCCACACUGGGACUGAGACACGGCCCAGACUCCUACGGGAGGCAGCAGUGGGGAAUAUUGGACCAUGGGCGAAAGCCUGAUCCAGCAAUGCCGCGUGAGUGAUGAAGGCCUUAGGGUUGUAAAGCUCUUUUACCCGGGAUGAUAAUGACAGUACCGGGAGAAUAAGCUCCGGCUAACUCCGUG